rnacentral:rRNA from 1 species
GUCGAGAAUUUUUCUCAAUGGGGGAAACCCUGAAGGAGCGACGCCGCGUGGAGGAUGAAGGUCUUCGGGUUGUAAACUCCUGUCAUUUGGGAACAAGUCGGGCGUAGUAACUAUACGUUCGUUGCUAGUACCAGAAGAGGAAGAGACGGCUAACUCUGUGCCAGCAGCCGCGGUAAUACAGAGGUCUCAAGCGUUGUUCGGAUUCAUUGGGCGUAAAGGGUGUGUAGGUGGCGCGCUAAGUCGGGUGUGAAAUUUCGGAGCUUAACUCCGAAACUGCAUUCGAUACUGGCGUGCUUGAGGACUGGAGAGGAGACCGGAAUUCAUGGUGUAGCAGUGAAAUGCGUAGAGAUCAUGAGGAAGACCAGUGGCGAAGGCGGGUCUCUGGACAGUUCCUGACACUGAGACACGAAGGCCAGGGGAGCAAAC